UGACCUGAAUGCCGCCGAUAUAGUCUUUUGUUUCUAGCCUGCUAGUGUGGAGGAACAUUGUUUCUCUUUAUUUAAGUAAUUGUGCAAUUGUAGAAAUGAAUGCAAUCAUUUAAUACUAUUUGCUAAUUUUUGCUUACUGUUGAGAAACAUGUAAUAAAAUUACUGUAGUUGGAUAAGAAACUAAUGCAUCAGUAAGGGGCUGGGGGUAGCAACAUUAGAGGGUAAGAGAGAAGAAAGUUUUCUGAGAUGGUUUGUUAACUAGCAACCAGGACCAAUACACACCCACCAGAUAGAAGUGUUCUGACUCAAGUUGACAAUGCUAAUGCAAAUUAAGGUGGUGAUGAAAGACAUUAUGGCUUUCACCUAUCAAAAAAAAUGAAAGACAUUAUGGCUUUCAAAGCUGUCCCAAAUUAGCGAUUUGCAUAGCCAACCCCAACUAGUUGGGAUUCAAGCUGUCUCGAGUUGAGGUUAAUAUCAAACUAUUGCAGAUUUCUUAGGAUUGGUGUACACUACAACUGUUAUUGAAUUAGAUGAAGUUCACAAAUUAAUAUUUCAUUUACAUCCUUCAAUCUGUCAUAAAGCAUGUUGAAGAUAAUUGAUGUGGUACAAAAGAAACCAAAAUUGUUUAGGGUAAAUUUCAAGUGGAUUCCUGUGUUUCAACUUCAAGAUUCACCGCCAUGACAAAAAAUUUUAUGCUAUUGCUGCUGGUCUCCUCAGGUUUUGUUUUUUUU
rnacentral:lncRNA from 1 species